UACGAAGGGGGCUAGCGUUGCUCGGAAUUACUGGGCGUAAAGCGCACGUAGGCGGCUCUUUAAGUCGGAGGUGAAAUCCUGGAGCUCAACUCCAGAACUGCCUUCGAUACUGUAGAGCUUGAGUUCGGGAGAGGUGAGUGGAACUGCGAGUGUAGAGGUGAAAUUCGUAGAUAUUCGCAAGAACACCAGUGGCGAAGGCGGCUCACUGGCCCGAUACUGACGCUGAGGUGCGAAAGCGUGGGGAGCAAACAGG
rnacentral:rRNA from 1 species